CAAAGGAGCAAUCCGCUGAAAGAUGGGCUCGCGUCCGAUUAGGUAGUUGGCGGGGCAACGGCCCACCAAGCCGACGAUCGGUAGCCGGACUGAGAGGUUGAACGGCCACAUUGGGACUGAGACACGGCCCAGACUCCUACGGGAGGCAGCAGUGAGGGAUAUUGGUCAAUGGGGGAAACCCUGAACCAGCAACGCCGCGUGAGGGAAGACGGUUUUCGGAUUGUAAACCUCUGUCCUCUGUGAAGAUGAUGACGGUAGCAGAGGAGGAAGCUCCGGCUAACUACGUGCCAGCAGCCGCGGUAAUACGUAGGGAGCAAGCGUUGUCCGGAUUUACUGGGUGUAAAGGGUGCGUAGGCGGCUUUGCAAGUCAGAAGUGAAAUCCAUGGGCUUAACCCAUGAACUGCUUUUGAAACUGCAGAGCUUGAGUGGAGUAGAGGUAGGCGGAAUUCCCGGUGUAGCGGUGAAAUGCGUAGAGAUCGGGAGGAACACCAGUGGCGAAGGCGGCCUGCUGGGCUCUAACUGACGCUGAGACACGAAAGCGUGGGUAGCAAACAGGAUUAGAUACCCUGGUAGUCCACGCUGUAAACGAUGAUUACUAGGUGUGGGUGGACUGACCCCAUCC
rnacentral:rRNA from 1 species